rnacentral:rRNA from 1 species
UACGUAGGGUGCAAGCGUUAAUCGGAAUUACUGGGCGUAAAGCGUGCGCAGGCGGUGAUGUAAGUCAGGGGUGAAAUCCCCGGGCUUAACCUGGGAAGUGCAUUUGUGACUGCAUCGCUGGAGUGCGGCAGAGGGGGAUGGAAUUCCGCGUGUAGCAGUGAAAUGCGUAGAUAUGCGGAGGAACACCGAUGGCGAAGGCAAUCCCCUGGGCCUGCACUGACGCUCAUGCACGAAAGCGUGGGGAGCAAACAGG